UACGUAGGGUGCAAGCGUUGUCCGGAAUUAUUGGGCGUAAAGAGCUCGUAGGCGGUCAGUUGGGUCCGCUGUGAAAACUCGAGGCUCAACCUCGAGACGCCGAUGGAAACCGUCUGACUAGAGUCCGGAAGAGGAGAGUGGAAUUCCUGGUGUAGCGGUGAAAUGCGCAGAUAUCAGGAAGAACACCCGUGGCGAAGGCGGCUCUCUAGUACGGUACUGACGCUGAGACGCGAAAGCGUGGGGAGCGAACAGG
rnacentral:rRNA from 1 species